rnacentral:lncRNA from 1 species
GCUGAAGGAGGUGCAGGGGUCACCGGGUGCAACGGGCGGCGGAGGGGCACAGGUCAAGGGCAGGGAAACUGUCCUCUGAUACGAGGGGCUGCCUGAGCACCUGCUGGAAAACAGCACCUCAGGCAUGGUCUCUACUAGCAUAUCGUCUCCACGAAUCCAAAAAUCCGACGCCUACAACUCUUCCACCAAACUACAUUCCACCGCCACCUUCUCCCCACCUGUCGCCAGAACUGCAGUUUCAGGCAACACUACCGCUUCCGUUUACGCUCUCCACAACCUUUCGCCACCUCAACUCCACAAACAAUCUUCUUUAUCACUUAAAAAUGCGUCACUAAACUCGCUUACUAAGCCGACGGUUUCCUACAGCGCCCCAGCACCGGCCGCACCCUUUGGCACCAAGUCUAACUACUUCGGAGGGAGUGGUGGUGAUUUGGUCACCGCUAUCCUGAUGGGGGAAACAUCUCUAGAUGGAUUCGACAAUGUAGAAAGUGUCUCGAACAGGGGACUGAACAGGGUUAACAGUGUCGGCAGUCGUCGGAAUUCUCAGGUGUCGGGUCGGAUGUUCGGCCGACAAGGUAAUCGAAUGUCGGUCGCUUCCAUCUUGGGUGGACAACACGGGGAAAUUGAUACGCAUAUGACUCCUCUAGAACACGAGCUCAAAAAAAGGCAGGAGAAAGAGAAAAUGGAGAAACGUAUCACAGAAAUGGUUAUAGGUGACUUUUAUUAGCUAAUAACGUUUAAAUAGCGAUGUUAGUUGAAUACACCUUAAGAAGUGCCCAUAUACGACAAGGAGUGUACUAGUUGUAUACGCGUCUAUUCAUUCGGAAUUUGUUCUCUUCCUUCUGAUUAUGAAUGAAUUGAUGAAAACGCCGUUCCGAGAAGACAAAAUAAGUUGUGCAGGCAAGGUCAUGUCUCACUCUGGAAACACCUAAGGGUUAUGUAUGAUACCCCGUAUCUCGAGAUACGCUAGAGACACUCUGUGGUCAUUAUUGGUACCGUGACUGGAAGACUCAGGAAUCAUGAAUCCGUAGUUCUCAGGUAUCCUAAUUGAAAUCACAAAUGAAUUACUGAGGAGCACAGAAAAAAAUAUUUUAGGUAUCGCAAGAAUCAUCAAUAAACAGGAAGAAGGUUUUAACUCCGCUUAAUAUAAGCAAAUGUAUAAAAACAUUAUACCUACACAUAAAGUACUAGCAUCGGAAUGUGUUGAAUGGUCAAUCAUUGGCCGCUCAUAAUACGCCGGUGAUUAUUAAUAGAUCUAACUUUGCAAUAAAUAAGCAAUUCAAUCAAAACUCAUAAUUGUUGAACUAAGUGUCUAAUGUACAGUGUUGAACUGUGUUGGACUGUGUCAAAUAUCCAAUGUUGAACUGUGUUGGACACAAGCGUUGGACUGAGUUGAACGCAAUUGUUGGACCAUGUGUCAAAAGUACAGUGUUGAACUGUGUUGGAUACAAGUGUUUAACUUUGUUGGACACAAGAGUUGAACUGUGUUGAACUCGACUGUUGGACUAUGUGUCGACUGUAAAAUGCUGGUGAAAUGUUUAACAUUAUAUCUGACUGUGCGUCUAGGGCACUGCGUUGAAUUGUGAGUUUGAUGUACAGUGUUGUACACAAAUGUAGAACUGUGUGUUGAAUUAUCCAAUCAUAUUUUAGCCUCAGUGGAGUAUUUUUCAACAAGUUUUACCAUAAGGAAAGAUGUAUUGCGCUGCAAAGCCAUGUAUUUUAAUUUUACACCACGUUUAAAAAGACUAUAAACAUUCCGGUAGCGUAGAAAUAUAUGUUUUAUGCAAGCAUUUGGCUUAAUUUUUUGUAGUCACUGCAACGCUUCACUCGGUGUUUGUUGUUCUGCAUUCGUAAUUUCUACAUGAUGAACUAUCAGCACGGACUAGCAGAUUUUUAUGCUGCUAGAAAAUCCUUAUAGACUAAGAGCAAUUCAAAGAGUAACCAUUGAGGGUAAUUCACUGAUGAAUAAUCAUUGAAGGGUAGCCAUGGAAGGGUAAAUAUUGAAGAAUAACAAUUGAAGGGUAAUCAUUAGUUCUAGACAAGCUAGACGUCUCAGGUUCUAAGAGGUGCUGCAAAGCUUAGGCCUUCUAAGGCACCUAAGCGUCUUUCCCGAAUAGUGGACAAGCAAAGUAUCCUAUAGAGUUCUCUGAUUGGCUAGGAUGCCUAUACCUUGUGGUAUACCAAGAAAUCCUAUAGCAGCCUAGAGGGGUCUAUAGAGGGGCCAUCAAGGUAUCGUGUAAGAUGCGUGCCUAUUGGACUACCGAGGUAUCCUCGUGCAUCCUACUAGCCCAUGAAACUAAACCUCAAGGUCCACCGAGGUAUCCUAGAGCACUCUACUGGGAUAUACGUCCAAAGCACAUAGACCACCUAUAGGUAUCCUAGAAUGUGCUGCUGCUGCUGAUUUUCGUGUAUGUUUGGCACUGCUUUUAAUUUGUGUGUGUUGUUGUUAAAUGUUGCAUGGAAAUAACAUUCGUCACAAGCUUUCUACGGCAAUUUACGAAUUAGAAUGCUUAUACAUUUUAUAUUUAUAUUUAUACUACCAAAAGAUAAUCUAUCCUAAAUGUAGAAUAAUAAUUGGAGUUAAAAUGUAUAGUACCAGUCACACUGUGGGACAGUGGCCGUGAUCGCAACUGAUGUCGAAAAAUAUAGCUUCUAAAUCGUCUAAGGACGAUUACGUUAGAUUGGUUGAAUUUGAGAUUAGGUUCAGGUCGCUAAGCAAUUUAUAACAAACUUUUCGGCCACUGUAAUACAGUGACCGCAGAAAUGUCGUGCUGUUCCUGUGACGCAUGAUAUGCAAUUGUGCAAUGCUGUUACCGUCAAAAAAUGCUGUAAUAUUUGCUAGAGUAUCCCAACUGAAAUCUAUAUUUAAUCUUUUUGAACAGAAAUUAUUUAGGUUGGCCAUAGCAUAUAUUCAUCGUUUUGAAUGGAAUAAUGUUUUUAAUGUAUUUCUUAAUGUUUGUUAGUGUUAAUCAUGCAGUCCGUCAACAUGCACCUGGUCUCAAGAAUAAAAGUUUCUCGCCAACUAGAAAUUUUACAACAAAAACCAGGCUCCAGUAAUACAUGUGCGAGAACAAUUUUGUAAGUUCAUUACAUCAAGAAAUUUUUCGUGAUUUUUUUGCAAGAAAAUAUUUCCUGUCAAAAGCAAAAAAAUCUGUCAAAGAUUUCUAACAUGUACCAUACGCCCUCAACCUGCUGGAGCCAGCGGCCUAACUUCAAUAUCAAGCAGUUACUUAACUGUAUUCUAAAAGAAAUAUUAGGUUGAAGUCAUUCAAUAUCAUCUUGCUUGCGAACGCAUCACAUUAUUUUAUUUCAUUCAUAACUCAAAUAUAUUUCCUAAUCUAUUCCCCAUCAAUUUACUAUUUCCUUAUCCAUACUCUUUAAUAUAUUCCUAUCCACCUCCAAUCCAUUUACCACAAUAUAUCCCUAUCUAUCCCUUAUCCAUUUACCACAAUAUAUCCCUAUCCACCCCUAUCCAUCUACUAUAAUAUAUCCCUAUCCAACCCCUAUCCAUUUACUACAAUAUAUCCCUAUCCAUCCCAUAUCCAUUUACUGUAAUAUAUCCCUAUUCAUCCCCUAUCCAUUUAAUACAAUAUAUAUCCCUAUCUAUCCCUAAUCCAUUUACUGUAAUUUAUCCCUAUUCAUCCCCUACCCAUUUUCUAAAAUAUCUCAUCGCGUUCUUGCCUAUAACAUAAAUAUUCUAAUAUCUUGCCCUUCAUUCUGCAAGAUCAAUAUUUUAUCCUAUUUCUAUUUAUUACGCAUAUCCUUAUUAUAUCCCUCUCAUCAUCAAAUUUCUUAUAA